UGAAAUCUGACAUUGAAAUUCAACUGCAAUAAUAACAACAAUUAUCGACAGAAACAUUUAUAGUUGAAUCACUGCUGACAGUCGUGAUCAUUAAUUUAUUUGAAGUCUAGUUUAUUGCAAUGAAAAUUCUUCAGAUCAGUUUUUUUCUGUUAUUUAUUAUUGUUGUGACGACUGCCCAAAAUCAAUCCUGCGUUCCGCUAUAUGAAAAGUGCACACCAGGUGGAAUUCCAUGCUGUGAAGAUUUUGGUGAUUUGGUAACAUUCUUCUCACAUGCUGAAUAUACCUUUGAAUGUCGGCAAAAGCAAUUCGUUGGCGUGCGAAAAGGUUCAAAUGUAACAAUUAUGUCUAGAUGUAGUUUAAUAUUGGCUCGUUUUGUAGAACUUAAUGAAACGAAAGAAGACAAUGAAUAAAUUUAUGUAUUUUGUAAUUAAUAUGAAUAAUAAUAAUAAAUAGUAUGAGUUAGUUGUGAUAAAUUAUUAGAGAGUGAACCGAAUUACUGGAUUUUGAAUAAUUUGAUUUUAAAAAAUAAAUAGUAAAUAUAUAUUUAUCCAGUAUAUAUAUUGAUAGAGUACAGUUAUAAAAUAAUCCGUUAAUUGAGCAAAUAAAUAAUUUAAGUUUUAUUUAAAAAUAAAGUAUUAAAGCGUGAGAGUUCCACAACGAAUCCGUAAUUAUCACGGUAGAGUAUUAGAGAAUAAACUUUUAACCUUUUGUGCGAUUAUAUAUAAAGAUUGCAAUUGGUAUAAGUCACUGACUUUCGACAGUAAUAUUUAUUUAUAAUUCAGUAGGUUACUGUAAUUAUUACACAUAUGUACACAUGUGAGUAUCCAGGGUAAAAUGGGAAUCCAUUUUUUUGAGUCAGGAGCUUUUUUUUUUGUUCAAAAUUUUUUGGCUACGGUCUGUAGAAAAAAUGAGGAAAGUUGGUCAGCCUUAAUAAUGCACAAUUAUUUUAUUGACUAGAAAAAGUUUACUUUGAGGUAAAAUGGGCCAAAAUUAUAAAAAAAAAUUCUUUACCACUGUCUGGGUUCAACUUACCCCAUUUUUUUUUAUAAAAAUCGAAGCCUAUAAUUUUUAAGCUAAAAAAAUUUAUUUUCGUGUAAAAGUUCUUGGUUACGGUAUGGAAAAAAUAUGGGGCAACUUGGUCAGCCUAGGUACGAUUUCAAAUUUUUUUUAAAAAUGUUUUUCGUUUUUUUUUUUUUUUUUAUCAAUUUUUUGACUAGCAAUAGUUGAUUUUGAGGUAAAAUGGACCACGAUUAUAAAAAAAAAUUCUUGACCUCUCCGGGUUCAACUUACCCCGUUUUCUAUUUAAAAAAAAAAUCGUAGCCAAUUUUUAAACUAAAAUUUUUAUUUUUCAAAUUCUUGAUUACGGUCUGUAGAAAAAUCUGAGGCAAAUUGGUCAGCUUAGAUACAGUUUAAAAUUUCUUUUGAAAAUUUUUUUCUUAUAAUUAUUUUCUUUGACAGGAAUAAAAUAACUCCGUUGUAAAAUGGGCCAAGAUUACAAAAAAAAAAUUCUUGACCACUCCGGGCUCAACUUACCCCGUUUUCUAUUUAAAAAAAAAAUCGUAGCCAAUUUUUAAAUUAAAAUUUGUAUUUUUUAAAUUCUUGAUUCCGGUCUGUAAAAAAAUAUGGGGCAAGUUGGUCAGCCUAGACACAGUUUAAAAUUUUUUUUGAAAAUUUAUUUCUUCCAAUUAUUUUUUUGACUGGAAAAAAAAUAAUUUUGAGGUAAAAUGGGCCAAGUUAUAAAAAAAAAUUCUUGACCAGUGUCCAGGCUCAACUUAUCCCAUUUUUUUUUUAAAAUUGUAGCCCACAAUUUAAAAAUAUUUUUAUUUUUAUUUUAAAAUUAACGUCGCAUCUGAGUUUGGAUGCUGAAAAAAAAAUUAAGAUGUCCCAUUUUACCCCGGGUUCUCAGAUAUAUAUUUAGUGAGAAUAUAAAUAACAGAGUUAUUUAAGUUUUAAAACCGGUAGCAACCGUGAAAUUACAAGUUUUACUUUAAAAACUAAACAAUUGACAAGUCGUGACACACUUUUACAAAAUUAAGUACCAAUGGGUCUUUAGGUCUAGGGUCCAAGUCUUUAGAUCUUUAUGAUCCUUCACUUGCUACUUGCACUAUAAUUUCUACAGUCAGUUAAACUUUCCUGCCCGAAAUAUAUUUUUAAAGUAAAUUUUAAAUUACGUUCUUUCUUCUACCUGCCCUCGACCAGCUCCGCCAAACUGCUCUCUAAUUUUUAUCCCUCCUUUUUUUUUCACCCUAAAAAUUCCUCUGCUACACUUUUACUAUAAAUUAUUUUUUAAAAAUUAACUUUUGACUUUUCAUCAACUUGCAAUGAAAAAUUUUUAUAUAUAAAGGGGGAAAAAAUGUAGAAGAAUGAGGUGAAAGUGAGAAGAAUAUUAACCAUAUGUCAGAUAAUUGAGAAGAUUGACGUAAAAUUUUCCGGCCAUCUGACACCCGUAUAUUAUAAAAUGUGUUAUAGAUUUUUAAUAGCGAGUAGAUGAUUAAUUUAUUUAGUCAUUAAAUAUGACGGUAAUAGAGAAG